rnacentral:lncRNA from 1 species
CCCACCCCCUGACCUCGUCUCUCCCCCAACACUCAUAUGAUUUAAUUCCAGGAUGCUUGCAGGAGGAGGCAAGGCCAGGCUGCAGUUGGGAACAAGGAGGUUCACCCUCACACAACUGCCACUGAUUCAUUAAGUUCUGGAAGCCGGAAUUCUGAAAUCAAUAAGUUGCCAGGGCCGUGCUGUCUCUGAAGGUUCUGGAGAAGAAUUCUUCCUUGCCUCUUCCUGGCUUCUGGUGGCUGCUGGCAAUCGUUGGCAUUCCUCGGCUUGUAACUGCGUCACUGUAAUAUCUACCUUCGCCUUGACGUGGCUCUCUUCCCUCUGGGUGUGUCUCUCUGUCCCCAAAUCUCCCUUUCCUUAUAGUGAAUGCAGUCUUAGGCUUUAGGUCCAGUCAAUCCAGUAUGACCUCAUCUCAACUUGAUUCCACCUUCCGGACCCAAUUUCCAAAUAAGGUCACGUUCAUAGGUACCGCAGGUUAGGACUUCAACAUGCCUUUUUAGGGAACAUAACUCAACAACCACUACAGAGUAUUAUCAAAUAAUCCGUGGAAUUUCAACACUGAUUUCCAGAUCGUCUACUAAAGGAAAGGGUGAGGUCCUCCAAGUUGGAAUGCUUAGCAUCCAAACAACGUGCAGAUGCCUACUGUGAAACAACACGCCUCCUGACCACAAACACCACUGGGAAGAAAGAAAAGAGAGUUUUUCCACAUUGGCAAAUGACUUUGGUACAAAGAAUGUGUGAAAGCAAAGAGAUUCUUUCCCCUGGGCUUCAUCACUGCAAAUAUGUACUGUCAGGUAGAUUGGCUCUUAGGUCUAAAAUAUAAGACCCUUUGAGCAGAGCGGCUAUAUACAGCAAGUGCAAAAGAUGGAGAAACAAAGCAAAACAGAAACCGAAGCAUAGUUCAGCCUAAGGUUCCUCAAGCAAACAUCAUGUUACACUGCAAAGCUUUUGUUCACUAGACAAGUAAAGAAGUUCAGGCAUAGAAGUCUUAAACAUGAAGUUGGUUUAAGCAACUUGGUUACCACACGACCAGCUGAAUUUAAAGACCAGUGUGAGUUUAGAAAGGCUUCAUCAGUAAAAAGAGACAUUGAAAUCCUCCUCAAAAGUUCAGCAUCAAAUUUCGUCUUUACAAUACACAUAGAAAAGAACUGAAAUCCAUUAUUUCGGUUAGAAAAAAU